rnacentral:misc_RNA from 1 species
GAUGAAGAACGUAGCGAAAUGCGAUACUUGGUGUGAAUUGCAGAAUCCCGUGAACCAUCGAGUCUUUGAACGCAAGUUGCGCCCGAAGCCAUCAGGUUGAGGGCACGUCUGCCUGGGCGUCACAUAUCGUUGCCCAAUGCCUAUUGCAGUGCAAUAGGAAUUUCUAGGGCGAAUGAUGGCUUCCCGUGAGCGUUGUUGCCUCGCGGUUGGUUGAAAAUCGAGUCCUUGGUAGGGUGUGCCAUGGUAGAUGGUGGUCGAGUUAGAACGAUACCGAUCAUGUGCAUGCUCCCCAAAAUAUGGCCUCUAUGACCCACACGCGUCUCUUGACGCUCAUGACGAGACCUCAGGUCAGGCGGGGCUACCCGCUGAAUUUAAGCAUAUCAAUAAGCGGAGGA